rnacentral:rRNA from 1 species
UGCCUUGCACUGGUUAGUGGCGAACGGGUGAGUAACGCGUGGGUAAUCUACCCGGUAGUGGGGGAUAACCCUCCGAAAGGAGGGCUAAUACCGCAUAAUAUCUUCCCUUCAUAAGAAGGAAAGAUUAAAGAUGGCCUCUAUCUUAUGCUAUCACUUCAGGAUGAGCCCGCGUCCUAUUAGUUAGUUGGUAGGGCAAUGGCCUACCAAGACAGCAAUGGGUAGCCGGUCUGAGAGGAUGUACGGCCACACUGGGACUGAGAUACGGCCCAGACUCCUACGGGAGGCAGCAGUGGGGAAUAUUGCGCAAUGGGGGAAACCCUGACGCAGCGACGCCGCGUGGACGAUGAAGGCCUUCGGGUUGUAAAGUCCUAUUCUGGGGGAAGAAACCUUAAGGGUCCAAUAAGCCCUUAAGCUGACGGUACCCCAAGAGAAAGCUCCGGCUAAUUAUGUGCCAGCAGCCGCGGUAAUACAUAAGGAGCAAGCGUUGUCCGGAAUUAUUGGGCGUAAAGAGCUCGUAGGCGGUCUUAAAAGUCAGGUGUUAAAUUACCAGGCUCAACCUGGUAAAGUCAUCUGAAACUCUAAGACUUGAGGGUAGAAGAGGAAAGUGGAAUUCCCGGUGUAGCGGUGAAAUGCGUAGAUAUCGGGAGGAAUACCAGUGGCGAAAGCGGCUUUCUGGUCUAUC